UACGUAGGGUGCGAGCGUUGUCCGGAAUUACUGGGCGUAAAGGGUGCGUAGGUGGUUUAUUAAGUCAGAGGUGAAAGGCUACGGCUCAACCGUAGUAAGCCUUUGAAACUGGGAAACUUGAGUGCAGGAGAGGAGAGUGGAAUUCCCAGUGUAGCGGUGAAAUGCGUAGAUAUUAGGAGGAACACCAGUUGCGAAGGCGGCUCUCUGGACUGUAACUGACACUGAGGCACGAAAGCGUGGGGAGCAAACAGGAUUAGAUACCCUGGUAGUCCCUGA
rnacentral:rRNA from 1 species